GCCGCGGUAAAACCAGCACCUCAAGUGGUCAGGAGGAUUAUUGGGCCUAAAGCAUCCGUAGCCGGCUCUGUAAGUUUUCGGUUAAAUCCAUGUGCUCAACACAUGGGCUGCCGAAAAUACUGCAUAGCUAGGGAGUGGGAGAGGUAGACGGUACUCGGUAGGAAGGGGUAAAAUCCUUUGAUCUAUCGAUGACCACCUGUGGCGAAGGCGGUCUACCAGAACACGUUCGACGGUGAGGGAUGAAAGCUGGGGGAGCAAACCGGAUUAGAUACCCGGGUAGUCCCAGCUGUAAACGAUGCAGACUCGAUGAUGCAUUGGCAUAUAGCCAGUGCAGUGUCGCAGGGAAGCCGUUAAGUCUGCCGCCUGGGAAGUACGUACGCAAGUAUGAAACUUAAAGGAAUUGGCGGGGGAGCACGGUCAUACUGUUUCCUGA
rnacentral:rRNA from 1 species